AGGUCUUCGGACUGGUGCGCGGCGAUGUAGUUAUACGUAGCCGAUUGUGCCGGGAACAUGACAAAACUUGAUCAUUUAGAGGAAGUAAAAGUCGUAACAAGGUUUCCGUAGGUGAACCUGCGGAAGGA
rnacentral:rRNA from 1 species